UACGGAGGGUGCAAGCGUUAUCCGGAAUCACUGGGUUUAAAGGGUGCGUAGGUGGACCUAUAAGUCAGGGGUGAAAGCCCACAGCUUAACUGUGGAAUUGCCUUUGAAACUGUAGGUCUUGAAUGAGGUUGAGGUUAGCGGAAUGAGUCAUGUAGCGGUGAAAUGCAUAGAUAUGACUUAGAACACCAAUUGCGUAGGCAGCUAACUAGGCCUUUAUUGACGCUGAGGCACGAAAGCGUGGGGAGCGAACAGG
rnacentral:rRNA from 1 species